GACGAACGCUGGCGGCGUGCUUAACACAUGCAAGUCGAACGGAAAGGCCCUGCUUUUGUGGGGUGCUCGAGUGGCGAACGGGUGUGUAACACGUGAGUAACCUGCCCUUGACUUUGGGAUAACUUCAGGAAACUGGGGCUAAUACCGGAUAGGAGCUCCUGCGGCAUGGGGGGGGUUGGAAAUUUUGGGCGGUGGGGGAUGGACUCGCGGCUUAUCAGCUUGUUGGUGGGGUAGUGGCUUACCAAGGCUUGGACGGGUAGCCGGCCUGAGAGGGUGACCGGCAACAUUGGGACUGAGAUACGGCCCAGCCUCCUCCGGGAGGCAGCAGUGGGGAAUAUUGCACAAUGGGCGGAAGCCUGAUGCAGCACCGCCGCGUGCGGGAUGACGGCCUUCGGGUUGUAAACCGCUUUCGCAUGUGACGAAGCGUGAGUGACGGUAAUGGGUAAAGAAGCACCGGCUAACUACGUG
rnacentral:rRNA from 1 species